rnacentral:rRNA from 1 species
UACAGAGGUGGCAAGCGUUGUUCGGAAUUACUGGGCGUAAAGGGCGCGUAGGCGGUCUUGUCAGUCCCUUGUGAAAUCCCCCGGCUCAACUGGGGAACUGCACGGGAAACAGCUGGGCUUGAGUACUUAAGAGGAUCGCGGAAUUCCCGGUGUAGAGGUGAAAUUCGUAGAUAUCGGGAGGAACACCAGUGGCGAAGGCGGCGAUCUGGGAAGAUACUGACGCUGAGGUGCGAAAGCGUGGGGAGCAAACAGG